CUCAAAAUUUCGCCGCCCCAAUUUCCCCCCAAAAUCGAAAAUUUCAGGAAAAUCCAUCAAACCCCUCCUCUCCCCAAACCCAAACCCCAACCCCAACAUCCUCCUCUUGUUCCGUUCCAUCUCCUCCCUGAGCCCGUCCCAAAACCCUAGCAGCCUUAGCGGCCCCCCUCCCUCGACCUCCGCCGGGUUCAGCACCGACGACCAACUCUUCCUCCUCCGACGACUCUUCUGGCUUUUUUUUGAGGUUUUCUCCCCCUUGUCGCCUGAUCGCUGAGAUUCCUCCUCCAUUUGAGGAGGAGGAGGACAGGAAGGAGUCGGGGAGCGCGAAUUUUGAGCGAGGGCCUUUUGGAGCCUGGAAUUCGAAGUGAAAUCUUAACUAGUUCAGUUCACAUGCCGGAGCCUCGAGGAUUGGUUUCGCCUUCGAUUUCGUCUUCGACUUCUCGAUCUCUGCACUCUAUCUCUGUUAUUGAAAUUGUUUCAUAUGCUCACUGCUGUUAUUACAUUUGUGGAGUUCCUUGCAGUGUCAGUCAUUUGUUCCCUAUAUAUGAGAUUUAUUGUAUAGAAAAAAAAUUAUGUUUAUAGUUCUGAUAUUGUAUAUCUUGUUGUAUAUGCUCCACCAAGCUGGAGGUGUGUAACAUGCUAGCAAUUACUCUGGA